rnacentral:rRNA from 1 species
ACAGCAGUAGCCACGGUAAUACGUAGGUGGCAAGCGUUGUCCGGAAUUAUUGGGCGUAAAGGGCUCGCAGGCGGUUUCUUAAGUCUGAUGUGAAAGCCCCCGGCUCAACCGGGGAGGGUCAUUGGAAACUGGGAAACUUGAGUGCAGAAGAGGAGAGUGGAAUUCCACGUGUAGCGGUGAAAUGCGUAGAGAUGUGGAGGAACACCAGUGGCGAAGGCGACUCUCUGGUCUGUAACUGACGCUGAGGAGCGAAAGCGUGGGGAGCGAACAGGAUUAGAUACCCGUGUAGUCCCUGUCUCUUAUAC